rnacentral:rRNA from 1 species
UACGUAGGGUGCAAGCGUUAUCCGGAUUUAUUGGGCGUAAAGAGCUCGUAGGCGGCUUGGCAAGUCGGGUGUGAAAACUUCAGGCUCAACCUGGAGAUGCCACCCGAUACUGCUAUGGCUUGAGUCCGGUAGGGGACCACGGAAUUCCUGGUGUAGCGGUGAAAUGCGUAGAUAUCAGGAGGAACACCGGUGGCGAAGGCGGUUCUCUGGGCAUGUCCUGACGCUGAGGAGCGAAAGUGUGGGGAGCGAACAGG